rnacentral:rRNA from 1 species
ACGAACGCUGGCGGCGUGCUUAACACAUGCAAGUCGAGCGGAAAGGCCCUUCGGGGUACUCGAGCGGCGAACGGGUGAGUCACACGUGAGUAACCUGCCCCAGACUUUGGGAUAACCCUCGGAAACGGGGGCUAAUACCGGAUACGACACAGCUUCGCAUGGGGUCUGUGUGGAAAGUUUUUCGGUUUGGGAUGGGCUCGCGGCCUAUCAGCUUGUUGGUGGGGUGAUGGCCUACCAAGGCGACGACGGGUAGCCGGCCUGAGAGGGCGACCGGCCACACUGGGACUGAGACACGGCCCAGACUCCUACGGGAGGCAGCAGUGGGGAAUAUUGCACAAUGGGCGGAAGCCUGAUGCAGCGACGCCGCGUGAGGGAUGACGGCCUUCGGGUUGUAAACCUCUUUCAGCAGGGACGAAGCGUAAGUGACGGUACCUGCAGAAGAAGCGCCGGCCAACUACGUG